GCAUCUAUAGCUCAGCUGGAUAGAGUGUUGGACUUCGAAUCCAAAGGUCGCAGGUUCGAACCCUGCUAGGUGCG
rnacentral:tRNA from 7 species